AUUGAACGCUGGCGGCAGGCCUAACACAUGCAAGUCGAACGAGUGGCGGACGGGUGAGUAAUGUCUGGGAAACUGCCUGAUGGAGGGGGAUAACUACUGGAAACGGUAGCUAAUACCGCAUACCAUCAGAUGUGCCCAGAUGGGAUUAGCUGGUUGGUGGGGUAACGGCUCCCCAAGGCGACGAUCCCUAGCUGGUCUGAGGGGAUGACCCACCAAACUGGAAAUGGGACCAGGUCCAAGACCCUAAGGGAGGGAACAGUGGGGAAUAUUGGACAAUGGGCGGAAGCCCGAUGCAGCCAUUCCGCGUGGAUGGAGAAGGGCUUUGGGUUGUAAAAUACUUUCAGGGGGGAGGCCGUAACCGCAGAAGAAGCACCGGCUAACUCCGUGCCAGCAGCCGCGGUAAUAC
rnacentral:rRNA from 1 species